rnacentral:rRNA from 1 species
UACGUAGGUGGCAAGCGUUGUCCGGAAUUAUUGGGCGUAAAGCGCGCGCAGGCGGCUUCUUAAGUCUGAUGUGAAAUCUCGGGGCUCAACCCCGAGCGGCCAUUGGAAACUGGGAAGCUUGAGUACAGAAGAGGAGAGUGGAAUUCCACGUGUAGCGGUGAAAUGCGUAGAUAUGUGGAGGAACACCAGUGGCGAAGGCGACUCUCUGGUCUGUAACUGACGCUGAGGCGCGAAAGCGGUGGGGAGCAAACAGG